AAUGACACGGAUUUCUUCAGCUCUUA
rnacentral:piRNA from 1 species